rnacentral:rRNA from 1 species
AACGAACGCUGGCGGCAGGCUUAACACAUGCAAGUCGAGCGCCCUGCCAGGGGAGCGGCAGACGGUUGAGUAACGCGUGGGAACUUACUUUUUGGUUCGUAACAACUCCUGGAAACUGGAGCUAAUACCGGAUACGCCCUAACGUGGAAAGAUUUAUCGCCGAACUAUCGGCCCGCGUCUGAUUAGCUAGUUGGUGAGGUAACGGCUCACCAAGGCGACGAUCAGUAGCUGUUCUGAGAGGAUGAUCAGCCACACUGGGACUGAGACACGGCCCAGACUCCUACGGGAGGAAGCAGUGGGGAAUAUUGGACAAUGGGCGCAAGCCUGAUCCAGCCAUGCCGCGUGAGUGAUGAAGGCCUUAGGGUUGUAAAGCUCUUUUGUCAGGGAAGAUAAUGACGGUACCGGAAGAAUAGGCCCCGGCUAACUUCGUG